rnacentral:rRNA from 1 species
CAGCAGCCACGGGAAUACGGAGGGAGCUAGCGUUGUUCGGAAUUACUGGGCGUAAAGCGCGCGUAGGCGGUUACUCAAGUCAGAGGUGAAAGCCCGGGGCUCAACCCCGGAACUGCCUUUGAAACUAGGUGACUAGAAUCUUGGAGAGGUCAGUGGAAUUCCGAGCGUAGAGGUGAAAUUCGUAGAUAUUCGGAAGAACACCAGUGGCGAAGGCGACUGACUGGACAAGUAUUGACGCUGAGGUGCGAAAGCGUGGGGAGCAAACAGGAUUAGAUACCCCGGUAGUCCCUGUCUCUUAUAC